rnacentral:rRNA from 1 species
GAUGAACGCUGGCUACAGGCUUAACACAUGCAAGUCGAGGGGAAACGACGGGGAAGCUUGCUUCCCCGGGCGUCGACCGGCGCACGGGUGAGUAACGCGUAUCCAACCUGCCUCUGACUGAGGGAUAACCCGUCGAAAGUCGGCCUAAUACCUCAUGGCAUCGUCUGCGGGCAUCCAACGACGAUUAAAGAUUUCAUCGGUCAGGGAUGGGGAUGCGUCUGAUUAGCUUGUUGGCGGGGUAACGGCCCACGAAGGCUACGAUCAGGAGGGGUUCUGAGAGGAAGGUCCCCCACAUUGGAACUGAGACACGGUCCAAACUCCUACGGGAGGCAGCAGUGAGGAAUAUUGGUCAAUGGGCGGGAGCCUGAACCAGCCAAGUAGCGUGCAGGAUGACGGCCCUAUGGGUUGUAAACUGCUUUUAUGCGGGGAUAAAGUGAGGGACGUGUCCUUCAUUGCAGGUACCGCAUGAAUAAGGACCGGCUAAUUCCGUG